GCUAAAAACCUAGCUCAAAUUUACGCAAAUGCCACAACCAAACAACUGUAACCAAACAAAACAUUUUAAAUUUUUAGUAAAGGCGAUUGAAAAAUACCUAGAAGCUAUAACAAUAGUACCGCAAGGGAAAAGUGAAAUAAAAGUGAAAUAACUUUAAAGCAAGACUAAGCAGAGAUUCAACCUCGUACCUUUUGCAUCAUGGUCUAGCUAGUUCAACCAAGCAAAACGCAAUUGUAGUUUGACACCCCGAAACUAGGUGAGCUACUUCAAAACAGCCUUUAAGGGCCAACCCGUCUCUGUUGCAAAAGAGUGGGAAGAUUUUCAAGUAGAGGUGAUAGACCUACCGAACCUAGAGAUAGCUGGUUAUUCAGGAAAAGGAUUUAAGUCCUACCUUAAGUUUUUCUAUACCUCAAAAUAUACCAAUAAACUUAAGAGCCAUUCAAAUAAGGUACAGCCUAUUUGAAACAGGAAACAACCUUAAACACAGGGUAAUGAUAUUCUAAACGUGACCAAGUGGGCCUAAAAGCAGCCAACUUUUAAACAGCGUUAAAGCUUCAUCACUUUAUUUAACUAAUAACCUUAAUAUUACAAAACCCUUUAUCACUACUGAAUGACUCCAUAACUAUAUGGAGAACACUAUGCUAGAACUAGUAACAAGAAGAAGACCUCCUCCAAAAUGUAAGUGUAAGCCAAAAUGAACACCUCACUGGCACUUAUCGUCUUUGAACUUAAAGUAGUAACCCCACAAGAAAAUUCUACUCAUACAAACGUUAACCUUACACCAGAACAUUACCGGAAAGAUUAAAAAAAGAGGAAGGAACUCGGCAAAUUUUAACCCCGCCUGUUUACCAAAAACAUCGCCUCCUGAAAUAACUAUAGGAGGUCCAGCCUGCCCAGUGACUAAGUUAAACGGCCGCGGUACCCUAACCGUGCGAAGGUAGCGCAAUCACUUGUUCUUUAAAUGAGGACUAGUAUGAAUGGCAUCACGAGGGUUAUACUGUCUCCCUCUUUCAAUCAGUGAAACUGAUCUUCCCGUGAAGAAGCGGGAAUACAUCUAUAAGACGAGAAGACCCCAUGGAGCUUUAAACUCAGUACCAACUGCCCUCCUAAUAUACCCUCCUAAUUAAACAGACAUGGCUACUAGUUUUCGGUUGGGGUGACCGCGGAGCAAAACAAAACCUCCACGAUGAAAGGAAUUAACCUCCUAAUCAAAGAGCUACAUCUCUAAGAAUCAACAAAUUGACAUUUAUUGAUCCAAUUUUUUUGAUCAACGAACCAAGUUACCCUGGGGAUAACAGCGCAAUCCAUUUCAAGAGCCCCUAUCGACAAAUGGGUUUACGACCUCGAUGUUGGAUCAGGGUAUCCCAGUGGUGCAGCCGCUACUAAAGGUUCGUUUGUUCAACGAUUAAAACCCU
rnacentral:rRNA from 1 species